rnacentral:lncRNA from 1 species
GUAGAUAGGAAGGAGAAAGACAAGGUUGUGGACGCUGUGCAGCUACCUUGCUAACUCCGGAAAUACUCUGAAGGUAGAAACAGCUCUCACUUGGAUGCUCUGGCACCUGGAUCUGCACACAAGAUGCAGGGAGUAACGUGAGUAUGCCAACUCAGUAAGUAACAAUUAUAAAUAAAGCCUGAGUGCAGUGACGAGCAUUUAAAAUCAUAUACAAUUCAUAACAUAGAAUCUCAAAAGAAAUAACAAAUUCGAAUCACUAAUUCGAUUUUCGAACAUCUCGUAAAAACUCCCGUUUCAGUGAGAAAUCAUUUCAACAUUUGUUCAACAUUUUUCAAUAGAGGCUUAGUAUAAAAGAAGAGUGAAAUAGUAAUUUCAUAAAACAAGCCUCUUGGGCGAAGUAUCACUCAUAUAUAUAUAGCCCUUGGGCAAGCGUCUCAGUCACUCGUAACUCAACUCUUAUCAAUCAACGCUCACACUCAGCACUCCCGCUCAAUAGAUAUCUCAUAAGAAUAACCGUUGCACGUGCAGCCCAAUCCAUAAGUAUACAUAGUCGACUGCGCUCACUAGGGGUGUGCAAACUCCGGAGGGGCUCCUACAACCCAAGCGCUAUAUCGCUGCGGCGUGUAGCCCGAUCCAUAAAUAUAUAAUCCUCACCAUCAGGCCCUCGACCUCUUUCAGUCAUCAACCUCACAGCCACUCGGGCAUUUCAAUGAAAAAUCAGGGAACUCAGCCCAAACAAUUUCAUAUAUUUGAAAGUAGAGUAAUGAAACUACAUCAAACCAUAAACAGGUAAAAAUCAUGAUUGAGGAUCUGCUUUCGAAUCAAAACAGUGUGAGGAUAGUAGUAAAAUUCCCCUGAGGGUCCAAACAUUAUGGCACAAGGCCCCAAACAUGGCAUACAGCUCAAGUUAACAGAUUCAUUUCUAAAAUACAUAGAUAUAGAGUUUAUCAAAAUAUGCAACUCUACAGUUGCCACGGGACAGACCAACUCACAGUCCCUGCAGGUGCACGCCAACACGCCCGUCAACUAGCAUGUGUGUCACCUUAUUUAUCAAAUAGUACGAAAUUCCGGGGUUUCAUACCCUCAGGUCCAGAUUUACAAUCGUUACUUACCUCCAACCGGGCGAAAAUCUACUCCGCGAUGCCCUUGCCUCUCGAUCCGACCUCCAAAUGCUCCGAAUCUAACCAAAAUUAGUAUAUUAUCAUCAAUACACGGUAAAGGAACAAAACCCGUGCGAAAAUUAUCAAAUUAACUCAAAAAUCCUGAAAUUAGUCAAACCCGACCCCCGAUCCCACGUCUCGGAAUUCGAUAAAAAUCAUUAAACUAGAUACUCCUUUCACUCCCGAGUCUAUACAUACCAAAAAUAUCGAAAUCGAACCUCAAAUGGUCCCUCAAAUUCCCAAUUUAAACUUUCCAAUUUCAAGCCCUAAUUUUCCUAUUUUUCACCCCUAAUCUUUGCAAUUUCCACGUUUAAUCAACUGAAAUUCACCAUAGAUACGAGUAUUAAGUUCAAAAAUCUUACCUCAACAAGUUUCUCCUUGAAUUCCUCUUCAAAACCCUCCAAAAUCUUCAAUCCCGACUCUAAAAUGGUGGAAAUUGACAAAAAUUUGCGAAUAGUUUAAUUUAUACCUUCUGCCUAGGCAUUUCCGCACCUUCGGCCCAUAUCAUGCAUCUGUGGAUCGCAUCUGCGGUCAAAAUAACUGCAUCUACGGUUUUUUCACUUAACUCCUCAGGGCCGCAUCUGCGCCCAGGCACUGCACCUGCGAUCCCACAUAUGCGCCCAACACACCGCACCUGCGGUCUUCACCUGAUGGCCAAAUUUCGCACCUGCGGUCUCCCUCAUGAACCUGCGAUCUCGCACCUACGGUCCCUAAUCUGCAGGUGCGGUUAUGACAGAAGCAGCAGCUUCAGCUGCUCAAAUCAAGUCCAAUCUUUUCGUUAACCAUCCGAAUUCAUCCCGAGUCCCCCGGGACUUAAACAUGCCAACAAGUCACACAUCGCCAUUCAAACUUAUUCAAGCCUUUGGAACACUCAAAACAACAUCAAAACAUCAAAUCACCCUCGUAUUCAAGCAUAAGGAUUUCCAAACUUCCGAAUUUCGCAACCAAUCCAAAAACCUAUCAAACCUCAUCCGAAUGACCUGAAUAUUUGCACACACGUCACAAAUGACACAACGGACCUACUCCAAUUUUUGGAAUUCCAUUUCGACCCCGAUUUCAAGAUUUCCAUUGCCGACCGAAAAACACCAAAUUUCUAAUUUCGUCAAUUCAAGCCUAAAUCUACUACGGACCUCCAAAUUACAUUCUGAAUACACUCCUAAGUCCAAAAUCACCUAACGAAGCUAUUAGAACCAUCAGAAUUCACAUCCGAGGACUUCUACAUAUAAGUCAACAUCUGGUUGAGUUUUCUAACUUAAGCUUCCAAAUAAGAGACUAAGGCCUCAUUUGUUUGCAAUUAAUGGAGGUCUGAAUCUUAAUCAUUCAGAUCUCAGACAUUAAGUGCGUUUGUUUUUAAAGUCUGAAUCUUAAUUAUUCAAAUCUUAAUCAUUAAGUGUGUUUGUUUUUUUACUUCACAACCACUUAAUGGGUCUAAUAGGUCUGUAUGAUUAAGAUCUAUAACAGAGACUUAAUUUUAUUAAGAUGCUAUCACAUAUUCAUUAUUAACUACCGGCACCGCCUACCAUUAUCAACUACCACCAUGCCGCCACCGCCACCACCGCCACCACCAUACUCAACCACCACCACGCCACCAUCAUCCUCAAUCAUAGCUGCCACUAUUAUCGACCAUCACCAUCCACUAUCCCUACCACUCCGACCACCAUCAUUCUCACCCACAAUCAACACUCAUCCACCUCAACUACCAACUGACCACCCCAUCAUCAUCAACAACCACAGCCGGCACUGUCCAUCAUUAUAAUCUACCACCACCCACCCACCACCUUCCUCAGUCACAACUCACCACCCACCACCACCAUCCUCAAUCAUAAUCUCCACCACUACCGAUCACUACUAGCUACAUGAACCACUAUCAUCAACCAAAACUACCACCCACCACCGCCUCUAGUCGGCAUUCACCCGUUAGCCAUCACCACCAACAACUAUCAUAUUUUAAAAAACUAUAUAUAUUAUUGAUAGAAUAUUAGAUUAGUUAGUAUUUCAUUUGAAUUUAAUGUUUAUUAAUUCUCAAAUAAAGAUAAAUUUUAUACAUUCAGAUGUUAAAAAUCAAACAGUGUUAACUAUUUAGUAUUCAGAUCUUAAUACACAUCUUAAUAUAUUUAGAUGUCUAUUCAGAUUCAGAUGUCUUAAUCUUAAUACACAUCUUGAUAUUCAGAUGUGUAUUAAGACUCAGACGUCUUAAUCUUAAAAAAAUGACGCCUAAGUGUCUCAUUCCACUCUAAGACCACUCCGAACACAACCCAACCAACACGAUACGAUCAAAUACAGCUGAACAACACAAAAAGAAGCAGAAAUAGGGAGAACGUGACUGUAAUUCAUGAAAUGACUGGCUGGAUCGUUACAAUCACCCACCGGAGAGAAGUCCAGAGUUCUUGGAAGAAUUAAUAUAAGAAGCCAUAAUAAGGAGGAGAUAAUAGAGUUUUUUGAAGAAGAAUAAGGAGAGAUGAAAGCAUAAGGAAGUUAAAUGCAAAGAAGUUGAGAGAGUUUAUGAAACUAUUAGAAGUGAAAGAAGAAGAUGAGGGAUAUAAGUAAAAGUAUAGGCGGCUAAAAUCGUGGCCAUGAUUACCUUGAGAACCGGCGAAAAUAUUGCUAAAUCGUGGAGUAACACGUAUUCGGGGUAUUAAAUGCGAGGAUACGUGCGUUUUAUCAAGCGUUAGAAACUUUUCAGAAGUGUUUAAAACAAAUUUCACCAAGAAAGGAAUCUUCACCUACUUUCUGGUGACACAAAGAUGUGCCACCGAAAAGCAGGAGAACUAUCAAUAUAGGUUAAAAAACGAUUUAUAUUAAAUGCUCUUGAGAGCGUGACACGUGGAACCGGAGGCAGACGAAAGAUAGAGUGAGUGUAAAACCAAGAUCGAGGACAACAACUUCAGUUGGUACUGGGUAGAUCCCGAAGGGAACAUAGUAAACGGAAGCAUAUGAACAUUUGUCACCAGAUGACAUUUAAUAAAGAAUAUUCCUCAGUAUUAAAUACACAUCCGUUGCAGAGAAUUUUGGCAUUUAUGGUCUGCCGUUACAUAUUCAUCAAUGACCCUAUUACUGUCAUUUAAGAGGGGCUUGAUGUUAAGACCUUGUUCCCUAGGUAUAGCUAUAAAUAGUCACUUCAACAACCAUUGUAACACACGAAAUCUCUGGCAAACUUAUGCUACACAUUAUUCUCAAGCUAAAUAAUACUUUAUUUUCUGUUUAACAUUGUUCUUAUUUUCACUUAACUCCUCAGGGCCGCAUCUGCGCCCAGGCACUGCACAUGCGGUCCCGCAAUUGCGCCCAACACACUACACCUGCGGUCUUCACCUGAUGGCCAGAUUUUGCAUCUGCAGUCUCCCUCACGAACCUGCGAUCCCAAAUCCGCAGGUGUGGUUAUGACAGAAGCGGCAGCUUCAGCUGCUCAAAUCAAGUCCAAUCUUUUCGUUAACCAUACGAAUUCAUCCCGAGUCCCCCGGGACUUAAACAUACCAACAAGUCACACAUCACCAUUCAAACUUAUUCAAGCCUUUGGAACACUCAAAACAACAUCAAAACAUCAAAUCACCCUCGUAUUCAAGCAUAAGGAUUUCCAAACUUCCGACUUUUGCAACCAAUCCAAAAACCUAUCAAACCUCGACUGAAUGACUUGAAUAUUUGCACACACGUCACAAAUGAUACAACGGACCUACUCCAAUUUCCGAAAUUCCAUUCCGACCCCGAUUUCAAGAUUUCCACUGCCGACCGAAAAACACCAAAUUUCUAAUUUCGCCAAUUCAAGCCUAAAUCUACCACAGAUCUCCAAAUUACAUUCUGAACACACUCCUAAGUCCAAAAUCACCUAACGAAGCUAUCCGAACCAUCAGAAUUCACAUCCGAGAACUUCUACACAUAAGUCAACAUCCGGUUGACUUUUCCAACUUAAGCUUCCAAAUAAGAGACUAAGUGUCUCAUUCCACUCUAAGACCACUCCGAACACAACCCAACCAACACGAUACGAUCAAAUACAGCUGAACAACACAUAAAGAAGCAGAAAUGGGGAGAACGGGACUGUAAUUCAUGAAACAACCGGCCAGAUCGUUACAAUCACCCACCGAAGAGAAGUCCAGAGUUCAUGGAAGAAUUAAUAUAAGAAGCCAUAAUGAGGAGGAGAUGAUAGAGUUUUUUGAAGAAGAACAAGGAGAGAUGAAAGCACAAGGGAGUUAAAUGCAAAGAAGUUGAGAGAGUUUAUGAAACUAUUAGAAGUGAAAUAAGAAGAUGAGGGAUAAAAGUACAAGUAUAGGCGGCUAAAAUCGUAGCCAUGAUUACCUUGAGAACUGGCGAAAAUAUUGCUAAAUCGUGGAGUAAAACGUAUUUGGGGUAUUAAAUGCGAGGAUACGUGCAUCUUAUUAAGCGUCAGAAAUUUUUCAGAAGUGUUUAGAAAAAAUUUCACCAAGAAAGGAAUCUUCACUAACUUCCCGGUGACACAAAGAUGUGCCACCGAAAGCAGGAGGACUAUCAAUAUAGGGUAAAAAUCAAUUUAUAUUAAAUGCUCUUGAGAGCGUGACACGUGGAACCGGAGGCAGACAAAAGAUGGAGCGAGUGUAAAACCAAGAUCGAGGACAAUAGCUUCAGUUGGUACUGGGUAGAUCCCGAAGGGAACAUAGUAAACGGAAGCAAAUGAACAUUUGUCACCAGAUGACAUUUAAUAAAGAAUAUUCCUCAGUAUUAAAUACACAGCCAUUGCAGAGAAUUUUGGCAUUUAUGGUCUGCCGUUACAUAUUCACAAUGACCCCAUUACUGUUAUUUAAGAGGAGCUUGAUACUAAGACCUUGUUCCCUAGGUAUAGCUAUAAACAGCGACUUCAACCACCAUUGUAACACACGAAAUCUCUGGCAAACUUAUGCUACACAUUAUUCUCAAGCUAAAUAAUACUUUAUUUUUUGUCUAACAUUGUUCUUAUUCCUGCCUUCGAAAGCAUUGCUCCUGGAACCAAGCUAUAUGCUAUUUAUCUCGAUUUCAAUGUUAAGUCAUGUAUUCUUAUUUAAUUUGUUUGUCAUUUUGGAUCAAAUCAAUUCGUUUGUCUAUAAAUCAUAUAACAAAUUCAACUGUACCGUUUUACGGGUUAAUAAUUACACUAAUAUUUAAAACAAUAAUUGCAUUGUCGAUAUAUAUAACUUAAAUAAAAAAGAUGAAAUGCAUAAAUGGCGCCUUUAAAUUGUCCACAAAUACCAAAUAUACCCCUAACAAUCUCAUUACCCAACUAGACACCUCUUCUUGGUAGAAAUGGACCUCAUAGAUCCCUCGUGACGACAUGGUAACACGCAUUUAUUUAUACUCCAACUAGGUAAUUCGUCCGCGUGCGAUAAUAAAGAUAUCGUUAAAUUAACUCAUUAACUUUUUAUAAUAGCCAAUAAUAUAAUAUUUCAAACUAAAAUUUUAAAUACCUUUUUAGUCUUCGAAUCUAAUAAAAAGUGUAUCAUUUUUUCUCAGUUUUCUUAUACAAAAACAUGUAAAGAAAGAAAAUGAUCAAGAAAACUUGAUCUCUUUACGUGCAUAUCUGUAUUAAUUUAAAAUACGAUUUGUACUCUGUACAUUUAAUAUGUGUAUGUAAAUUAAUUUUUCUCUUCAAAUAUUAAUGCUUUCAUAAAAUAAGAAGAAAGAAAUAAAAAAAUGCAAAAUCAAAUUAAUCGACCUUGCUCGUUCAGUUUUAAAAUAAAAAGAAAUAUCUACCAACCUUUUACUAUAAAAUAAUUUAUUUUCAUUCUCAAAGUCAUUAAAUUAUACUAAUAUUUCUCAAAUUUAAAAAUAUAUUAAAUUCCUUUAACACUUUCUCCUAUAAAUUCAACAUACAAUUAAAAAAGUGCGAAGAGAAUCCAUAGGAGUUCAGACGGAUAAUAUUUCAAGCUGCAAUCUCCUUGAAAAUUAUCUUUUCGUUCAUUCAUCUGAAUAGUUUAUCACAAUAGACUACGAAAGAAGAAAAAUAACAUAACCAAGAAAAAGAUACAAGACAGAAAAAGAAAAUGCAAAAAAAAAAAAAAAAAAAAAAAAAUAGACAAUAAAUGGGAGAUAAACUUCGUUAUUUAGAUCAACUCUUCUCAAAUUAUUGGUUAGCGAUAAAUUUAUUCAAGAGGCGGAGACCUUACAUGUUCAUGCAAUAUUUCAGACGAUAAAAAUAACACUAUUAUGUUAGAGCUCAAAUAGUAUGAUAUAAAUAUAUAGUAUAAAGUAAUUAAAAAAUUUAUAUUGAGACAUUUACCGACCUAACUUCUUUUCUCCUGUUCGUAAUACUUAUUGUUACCGGAGAAUUGCAAUAUAUCAUUAGAAUACAUGACAUUAGAAAAGAAUGCAGUAAGCCAUCAUUAGAAUAUAUGCGUAUACAUUUGCGUUCUAACAAUGCUAGCGUGUGAACUGUAAUUGAUGAAACUAUAGAACCAAAUGAGCAAUGCCAUUUUGAAGAUUUUUCACACAGCUUAAAUCCAAUUAGAAUUUCGCCUACAGAUUGUUAAGUUUUUUAAGCGAAAAGGUGCAAAUAUACCCCUCAACUUUGUGAUUUAGAGUAGAUAUACCCCCCGUUAUAAGAGUGGUGGAUAUAUAACCUUAAGUGUUAGUAGUGACAGUGGUGAUCUAAAAAAUAAACAUGUAUUAUCCUAAAGAUAUUAUUAUUAGCAUCAAAAGAUAAAAGGCACUUGGUCCUUUUAAAAGACCAAAAUUUCCGAUACGAUUAAAAUUCGAACCACGAGAACACAAAAGAGCUUUGAGAACGUACAUUUACAUUUGAUGGCGGGGAGGGUUCUCAUAUGCAUUAAAAAUACUCAGUGUUUGGCAUUUUUCCAAGCAAUUUCUUUGCCACCAUUUUAAUUUCCUUGAGUCGAGGGUGUAUCAGAAACAACAUCUUUAUCUUCAAGAUAGGGGUAAGGUCUGCAUAUACACUACUUCUCCAGACCCCAUUUGUGAAAUUAUACUAGGUUGGUGAUGGUGGUGGUGGUAGAAACAGGACAGAAAAAAUGGGAGAAACAGAGAGUUCUACAAUUUGAAGGGAAAAUUAUGCAGUGGUUGAAUAUUGAUACAUAUCUCAUUUUCCAGCGUCCAGACAGAUCACACCAUAAAAAGAAAAUGUAUAUACUAACUUAAGCAAAAGGCGGAGAGGAACAAUUAACGUUUCUUAUUGAAUGAACGUAAUGCAAGUACUGAUGAACUUACCUUGAGACAUUGAUAAAAGUAAAGGCAUGGCUAAAAUGAUAGUAGAUGAGUGUUAGUUUAUCUAUCUAACAACUUUAUCAAUUGUAAUUCUAUGAUAUUUAUUAAUUAAUGUUCAUUUAAAGAAUCUGGAGCAGUAAAGAUGCAAUCUUGAAGCUAAAACUACCUUUAGUAUUUCCUGCACGUGCAAUUUGUUGGGCCUUUUGGACCUCUUCCUUUGCACAUUCUAGAGGCAUAUGCAUGAAAACCUAAAAAGUCAUACGAAAAGAAAUAGUUAAAUAAUCUUUUCUUUGAAUCCAAAUACACAAAACUUAUGUCGAUUUUUUUUUUUUUUUUUGCAAUAAUGAACAGCAAACAUCACGAUCCUUUCUUUAAGGAGAUGACAAACUUGCAAUGGAGAAAUUAUCAGAAAAAUCAAAUACAAACAAAACUGAAGUAGAGAAACCCGUGAUAAAUCGAAUUGAAUAGCUGAAAAAUUAGAGAGGAAAGAGGAAAAACCCCCCAAAAAUAAGAACACAUACAUCUAUAAACAAAAGAGCUUGAGAGGAACGAAAGCUAAUACACUGGGUGAGACUCGGAGAUAAGGUUUUAGUCAGGCCCUGAGGCUAGAUUAGACUGCCAUGGAAGGCCUGGUCUUCAGGUUAAGUGAAAGAGAAAAAAGUAAAAGAGAAAAUAAAAGAACAG